rnacentral:rRNA from 1 species
AGAGGGGGAUAACGUUUGGAAACGAACGCUAAUACCGCAUGAUAUUAUUGAGCUGCAUGGCUUGAUAAUCAAAGGAGUAAUCCGCUGAAAGAUGGGCUCGCGUCCGAUUAGGUAGUUGGCGGGGCAACGGCCCACCAAGCCGACGAUCGGUAGCCGGACUGAGAGGUUGAACGGCCACAUUGGGACUGAGACACGGCCCAGACUCCUACGGGAGGCAGCAGUGAGGGAUAUUGGUCAAUGGGGGAAACCCUGAACCAGCAACGCCGCGUGAGGGAAGACGGUUUUCGGAUUGUAAACCUCUGUCCUCUGUGAAGAUAAUGACGGUAGCAGAGGAGGAAGCUCCGGCUAACUACGUGCCAGCAGCCGCGGUAAUACGUAGGGAGCAAGCGUUGUCCGGAUUUACUGGGUGUAAAGGGUGCGUAGGCGGCUUUGCAAGUCAGAAGUGAAAUCCAUGGGCUUAACCCAUGAACUGCUUUUGAAACUGCAGAGCUUGAGUGGAGUAGAGGUAGGCGGAAUUCCCGGUGUAGCGGUGAAAUGCGUAGAGAUCGGGAGGAACACCAGUGGCGAAGGCGGCCUGCUGGGCUCUAACUGACGCUGAGGCACGAAAGCGUGGGUAGCAAACAGGAUUAGAUACCCUGGUAGUCCACGCUGUAAACGAUGAUUACUAGGUGUGGGUGGACUGACCCCAUCCGUGCCGGAGUUA